CCAGCAUCUGGUUGAUGACUCUGGGCUCAUACUCUGUGAUCCCCAUGUCCUUCAGGAUCUGGAUCAUCACCUGCAAAACACAGUCACCAUCCAUCAGACAACAUAAUGACAUCAGCAAAUCCAAUACAGGUCCUUCGCCGUCUCUCCCUCAAAUCGUCCUGGUGUUAAAAUUCACGCUGCAUCUCUGAGGAGGCGCCCGGCCACACUUCACAGGUGACCGCAGAAAGGGAGGAAGAAGAAGAAGAUUUGCUGUUGCCAAACAUGAACUUGGAGAGGAAUCAGGGUUCUGCAAUGUCGUGUCGAAACCCUUGACACUAUCAACAGGACGAAGGUUAAUGAGGGCAAAAGCUGUUGACAAUUAAGCAAAUGAAGCAGAACUGCAGUGUGAACAGUCUCAGACGCACAAACCGAAAUAUCAAAGCUGCAGUUCUGGAAGAAAAAUGUGUGAAUCUUCCUCCAAUUUUCAGGUUUUAAACACUUUUAUUUCUGCUGUAAAUUCGACGUGAAACACUGUAUGUUUGAGUAAGUGUUUCAUAGUAUUUAUGUGAUUAAUUUAAUUAUAAUCUUUGGGAAAUUCCACAAACAUAAGUUAAAGAUUUUUAAAAUAUUUCAAAAAAUUAGUUUUUGAAUUUAGUCUUAAGGAUUCAUUAAAAGCAGUAACCACACAUCAAAACUAUUUGUUUUAUUUGUUAAUUUAUUCAUAUUUUAUAUUUUCUUUUCUUUUCACCUCACAAUUCACAAUUUAUUGUUAUUGGUGUUUUCUUUUGGUAUAACUACUAUGUAUUUUUUAGUAAAACUUUCCAUUUGCUAAUUAUUUUGUAGUUGUUUAAAUUCUUAUUUAUGUAUUUAUUUAUUUGAAGUGAUAUUUUUGUUAGGCUGCAGAAAUAAUGAAAUGUAAACAAUCAGAAAUCUGUGGCCAGUUGUAAUAAGGUACGACAGUGUUGACAUGGUGCUUUGUUACAGCUGACUUUCACAUUAUAGGCAGUAAAAUAAUAAUAAAUAACAGUGAAUUAUGUCAUCACGCCAAUAUUAUAAACUUGACUUAAUUGAAAUGGUUGAGUUGAUAAGGGAGACACCUGAGUGUGUGUGUGUGUUGUCUGUCUGAUAUAGGUUAAUGGGGCUGCAGCAGUUUACUGUAUGAUGAGAUGUAAUUGGAGACAAUAACCUGUCUGACUGAUAGACUGUAAUCACUGUGUUCAUAAAACUCCUCAUUUCACCUGAAUACGCCGCUGCGGGACUUUUAUUUUUAUUUUGCAGGGACACCAAGCAGGAAAUAUAUAGUCCAA